AGUAGAAUGGCUGAGAUUUAGGUGAUAGAUUGUAAAUCUAUUGAGAGGUUAUACCUUUCUACUA
rnacentral:tRNA from 2 species